GUGAAAUAUUUCCCCCAAGUUCUGAAGAGGCAAAGAGAUCUUAUUGAAAUUUCCCAAUCCCUUUCCGCGUACUCCGACUCCUCCGCCCGUUUGCAGUGACCUAGUCCAUACAGUACAAAAUAUGGAGUUUCGGUAAUGAAACUAACUGAGAUAGUCUUGCGCUGAGUCAACUUGUGUUGGCUCCUUCGGUGGCUCUUCCUCCGCAGCACCCAGUAAAGUGCCGCCAUCGAUUUGUCUUCACCUUUCGUUCCUUUACGGAAAUUGUUCACUCUGCUUCCAUACUUUUAUUUUAUGCAGGAGCGUGACAAGUAGAUCUGACCAUCAACGACAAUGGAGAAAGACUUGGAAAUUCUUCUCUAGAGGAGAUAGAUAUCGGGGAUACGCGAUUUCAUAGGCUCGGGGAUCACUUCAAGAGCGAGUCCGAAAUAGACUGGGUCCGAGCCCGAUGGCGGAGUUCGAAGUUCAAAGAUUAGAGUAUUCGAUGAAUAUCAAGGCCGAGCGUGACCAGCCUCGAAAUAAUGCUGUUGUGGUUUUGUAACAGAAAAGGCGGGAUUCCCGCAAUGGCACAAAGAUCAAGGCAUAAAUUUCGGGACGGAUUUGUACGGAAUCGUACUAGGCUGUUAGACAGCUGUCUAAUUAGAUUCCUUACUAAAAACGGAAAUGUACCUUAUUUAGGACUCCCCUAUUAUAAAGUGGAGCCCAUUCAUUUGUAAAGACAUUGAAUCAUUGUCAAAGAAUAUACUCUCUUACUUUUCUCGCUCA